GCGAUGGAGAUGGCCUGGCUCUCCAUCAGCAGAUGAGCCAGCAUAUUGGGGAUGGUGACCAGUGUGUAGCAGGUCUCAGAGAGGGAGAGCACGGCCAGGAAGCGGUACAUAGGUGUGUGGAGAGUGCGAUCCACCUGGAUGAUGGUGAUGAUGGUGGCAUUGCCACUGAGUGUGACCAGAUCCUGGCUAAAGCCUGGACAUGAGCCUGCACUUGUCCUCAGAAGCUCACCUCUCCCCCAGCUCCCACCAGGUUGCCGCUUUCCAGCCACAGCUCAAAAGACAUGAAUGUAUCUUCUUCCCCAUCUCUCUAUUCCAGGGAGACUGACAGCUUGCUUGAUCUGUUGCUUUGCUAUUAAACUCUAGUCUAAUUGUG